GCUGCUGGCCGCGCUGAUUGGUGCAGGCCGGGGGUGGGCGGGGCGGGCUGAGGCGGUGGCCCGCAGACGAGCGGGGGCUCGGCCGCGGCGCUCCCGGGCGGGGAGGCGGGGUCGCAACCCCGAAACAGGCACUCCCCCCUUUAUUUUAUUUCUUCCAGGUGACGCGACAUCCCCUCAGGCUGUAACACGCCGACUCCUGCGCUUCCCGCCGCCGGGCAAGGAGCAGCCUCCCGGGAUGGGGGGCCGGCGGUCUCCGUUAGAAGCGGGCGCACCGUGCCAGGCAGAGUUAUGGGGUGACCUCGGGGUGCUCGAAGAAGAUGAGGAGCUGGAGGGUUUCAGGAGGGAGGCGGAAGUUCUGCGUGAGAAGCUGAGGGAGGCUCUCAGUCAUACAUCUGGUAACAUAAGGCAGUCCAGUUCUUUGACCGACCUCACCUCAGACAGUACCUGGGAUCAGCAAAAGCCUCACUUGUUUCCUAAGUCCCGCUUGAGGCCAAAAAGCGCUUCAUCUCCCUGGAUUCCUUCCAUCACCAUCCCUCAGCCUUUCAAAAUGACACUGCGGGAAGCUCGCAAAAAGUCCGAGUUGAUGAAGUCAUACAUGUUUCUUGAACUAGACAAACAGAGAGACAAAAUGCAAAGCCAGGAUGAAGCUGAAUGUCAGAAACAAUUCCGGGCACAGCCUGUACCUGCCCAUGUGUUUCUGCCCCUUUAUCAGGAAAUAAUGGAGCAGAAUGAGAUUCGCAGGCAAGCAGCAACACAGAAAAGAAAGGAGCUGCUACUUUCAACACAGCGGCCCUUCAGUUUUCUGGAGAAGGAAGAGAAAAAGAAAGAAGCUAUCAGACAAAAAUUCCUGACAGCAGCAACCCCAAAUGAGAGCUCCAAACAGAAGCAAGCCAGUAAAAAAGUUCCCAAAUCUACUUAUGACUCACUUCUUGGAGAUAAACUCAAAGAAGCCGAACUGUACAGGGAGAUCCGUAUUCAGAUGAGAGCGAAGGAUUUGCUCAAGAGCUCCGUAGCUCCCAUAGAUACCAGCAACUGUCGGAGGGAGCCUCAGGCCCGAACUGCCACCAGAACCAAGCAGGAAAGACUUGGCUUCUUACAGGACAAAAGUUUCAGCUUCAAACCAAGGAUUAAUCCAACAGUACCGGAUUUUGAAGAACUUUACUGGGCAUUUCAGAGGAAAACAGUAAGGAGACAAGAAACCAAAGAGCCAAUUCGUAGUAAACCAUUCAAGCUAAGAACCUCCAGUCUCCAUGCCAGGCAGAGGCAGGCUAAUGACAAGAUAAAGGAUUCUCAGAAGCUUUCCAAGGUUUCAGUGCAAAAAAGUCACUCUCUGCCUGGACUUUCCUCUCUCUCUUCCAACACCCUUCCUGUGUAUAUUACAGAUGCAACUAGAAAGAGGGAAUCAGCUAUUAGAUAUGCCCAAGAUAAAAAAAAGGAAGCAGACAAAGAAGGAAUUUAUUGGCUGGAGAAACAGAAAAUGAAGUGUCAAGCUAUGCAAAAGUCUGUAAAUAGCCGAGCAAAAGCACUGGAUCCUCAUAAAAGUCUGGAGGAAACACAAAAGGAGAAAUCAAAACAGAACAGGCAAAAAUUGCAGGACAGAACAAAAGAAUACAGAAAGGAGCUGGAAGAAAUGCAGCUGCGAGUCAAGAACAGACCGUUCCUCUUCGAACAGGUCACCAAGGCUUUGCAAUCUGGGGCUGCAUUCAGCACAUCUCACCCAUCACACAGUACCAGCUGCAAAUCUCUGUUGCACCUGAGCGUGAUGCUCGUCAAGGAGCAGAGCGUCGCUACAGACGCACCCUCCAGCAGGUUGGCCUAAGCGAAGAAUUUGUAAGGAACAAAGGGAAAGAUGCCCCUGACUUGCUGGAAGAAGAAUCUGAUGUUCACAGGCUGCCCGAGCCUCGGGGUGAAAAGGAUGACUGUACUGAACAGGAAGGAGUACCUCAGGAGGAACAGAGUGCAAAGGGAGUGGUGACAUAAAAGCUCACAGAAGAAUCCAUCAAUCAGCCCUUGACUUUUUUUGUUCAAGAUUCUCCAGGUUAAUCCUCAGGAAGUUAAUAGUUUAAGCUGACACCUAAGAAUUGCUGUGGGGUGAGAUGGGAGAAUUUAGUAAAGGGAAAAGAAACAACUGUUGUUUAGAGCAUGUCUUGUUCAGCCCAGCAAGCCCUGCAGCCUCCCUUAGUCUUCAAAAGUGUCCCUUGCGUGAGUGCUUUCCCUUUAAUGGGCAACAAAACAAGUUAAAGAGGUUCAAGCACUAUCUUUGGAUAAAAGUAGAUAUGAAAGAUUGAAGAGAUGCAUCCUAAAUUAUCAACUCCUUGCAUUCAUGCCACAGAAGCACACAGAAAGGGGAGAUUGCCUUCCACUGUGCUAGAAUGCUUUCAAACAAGGUGUUUCUACAAAAACAAAUACCAGGAUUUGACCCACCUUGGGAGAAGACUCAAAGGGAAGUCUUUCUCUGGUGUUAAUUCUUCAUUCACCUGCUACCAGCUCUGCUUCUUCCCCCCAUUAGUAAGAAGCAAUAGUCUU